ensembl:lncRNA
GGUUUUUACUCUACUGAAAAUAAUAAAUAUUAAAAGUUUCAACUGAAGUUGGUUGACUCAGCAGGUCCUGUGCUGCCCAGAGUACAGGGAAGAUACAAAAUGCUGUUAGCCAUGGUGUAUACUGGAUAAAAGAUCUGAAACCUCAUGGAUGUUUCAUAAGCCUUUGGUUGCAUGAAUGACUCAUUAAAAACAAUUGUUCCUUAUAGCAGAUGGCUGGAUGGCAUCACCCACUCCAUGGACAUGAGUUUGAAUGAACUCCAGAAGUUGGUGAUGGACAGGGAGGCCUGGCGUCCUUUGAUUCAUGGAGUCUCAAAGAGUUGGACACAACUGAGUGACUGAACUGAACUGAACUGAUGGCUAAUAAUGUUGAGCAUCAUUUUAUGUGCUUAUUAGUCAUUCAUAUAUCUACUUUGGAGAGCUCUCUAUUUACAUCUUUUGCUCAUUUUUAAUUGG